GAGUAUGUUUGAAAGGAGAGAAGGUUAGCACUCCCCCUGAGAAGGAUGGAAGACGUCCCAGUGGCCUUUACAACAUACAUAUGGUAAAGGCAUUGCCACCUACUUUGUGGUAUCUAACCAAGUUUUUGA